AAGCUGUGAUGUGGGUACUUCCUAGUAGGUCCUUGAAUCUCUCCCAAGCUUCAUACAAACUCUCUUGGUCAUGGUGGGCAAAGGGCAUUAUCUCAUUGCGCAGCUU
rnacentral:snoRNA from 1 species